UUGCGUACUUUAGCUCGCAUUUUUUGCAUAUUAGCAAACCAACCACUAGCUAGAGUUAAACUAAACAAAAUUUUAGUUCACCUAUCAAUUCACAUGUUUAAUCUGACUUUAGGUGAGUAGCAAUUAGAGCCUCUUUAGAUUCUUUCAGUUUUUGCUAGUUUUUAAGAAUCUAGCUUUUGAAAACUGGGUGGGAUCAAAACAGAUCAGCUUUUGCUUUUAGUUUUUGCCAGAUUUUUAAAAACCAAGCUGUCGAUAUCCAGCUUUUGCC
rnacentral:lncRNA from 1 species